rnacentral:lncRNA from 12 species
GUAAGCACAAUUUUCUUCUAUACUGUAGAUCAAUGAAAGUGUGGAGGAAAUGAUUGCAGAGGACUGCAUUUCUGAAUGUAUUAAAUGGCAGGACAGGUUGUACCAAAUUGUUCAGGAGAAUAUUACACAGGUGCAAAAAAAUAAGAAAGAGGAAACUUGAUCAAGGAGAGGCUGUUGUCAUGCAGGUUGAGGACAGAGUCCUGAGGCAAAACAAAAGAAGUCAUCAGAAAUUAAGAACCCUCAUCAGGUAAUGGUUUAUAAGUUUUAUACAAAUUUUUCUUUCUUCAAUAAAAGGGAUUUCAUGGAUACAAAGGGUUUCAAGGGUGCCACAUUAAGUGUGUCAAAUUACCUCACAGCCUACAACCAGAUGCCACUUCAUGUGGGGUGUUUGUGUGUAAGGUAAGCAGUUGUUUUUUGCAGAAGCACUUCUUCUCGGGGGAGACUUGACCUUCUCAUGUGCAGACGCAAACAUUGCACAGAUGCGUGAAGACCUGAGUCUAUGCCUUUUGAAUGAAUCAGAACCUCUGGAUAACCUGUGCCUGGCUUGUGGAGAAGAAUAUCCCCACACACCAGACCAGAUAGACACUUGGAUUGCAUGUGACUCUUGCAAUGGCUGGUACCACUGGGACUGCAUAAGCAGGCCAAGUUUGGAGGCACAUUUUAUUUGUCCGGGAUGUCAAGGCCCUAUUUAAAGUGUUUUACCCCCCACCCCCACCAAUAUGUCUUGUCCACAUACACUUAUGUAAAAUAAAAACUUAACACCAAAUCAUUUGAUGUCUUUAAUGUAUUCAACAUUAUACUUAAUUUCUUUACAGUAGUAACUGUGCAAAUUAUUGUGACCCUGGAGCAAAAAAUCUUAAAUCGCUGGGGUAUAUUUUUAGCAAGAGCCACAAAAAAGUGUAUGGGUCAAAACAAUUUUUUCAUUUAUGCCAAAUCAUUAGGAAAUUAAGUAAAGAUCAUGUUCCAUAAGAUAUUUAGCUGUUUAUGACAACAUGCAUUGUUAAAAGCAGUAUAUAAAGAAAACUGAAUUUAUUGUAUAGACACUUAUCGACCCACGAAAGAACCUGCCAUUACAAAAUCUCUCCUUCAUCAAAGGUAAAAAGGUUUUUAAUGGAUUGCAUCACCUCUAAAUGCAGUCAUUAAACCACGUGUCAAGAUAUGAAUGCAGUUUGCAAAAAAAUUCCAUCACAUUGAACAAUACAAGCCUCCACCGUUGAGCCUAGAGGGAGAUGUUUCCAUGUAGCUUUAGGCUCUGGACUUUCCCUCUAAAUAGUUUUGGAAUCAUUGCUUUGUAAUGUGGCAG